rnacentral:rRNA from 1 species
GAUGAACGCUGGCGGCGUGCCUAAUACAUGCAAGUCGAGCGAACAGACGAGGAGCUUGCUCCUCUGACGUUAGCGGCGGACGGGUGAGUAACACGUGGAUAACCUACCUAUAAGACUGGGAUAACUUCGGGAAACCGGAGCUAAUACCGGAUAAUAUAUUGAACCGCAUGGUUCAAUAGUGAAAGACGGUUUUGCUGUCACUUAUAGAUGGAUCCGCGCCGCAUUAGCUAGUUGGUAAGGUAACGGCUUACCAAGGCAACGAUGCGUAGCCGACCUGAGAGGGUGAUCGGCCCCCCUGGAACUGAGACCAGGUCCAGACUCCUACGGGAGGCAGCAGUAGGGAAUCUUGCGCAAAGGGCGAAAGCCUGACGGAGCAACGCCGCGUGAGUGAUGAAGGUCUUCGGAUCGUAAAACUCUUUUAUUAGGGAAGAACAAAUGUGUAAGUAACUAUGCACGUCUUGACGGUAACUAAUAAGAAAGCCACGGCUAACUACGUG